UGGUCAGUCCACAUCUGGUCAGUGGGACCUGU
rnacentral:piRNA from 1 species